AAGUCGUAACAAGGUUUCCGUAGGUGAACCUGCGGAAGGAUCAUUAUUACGUAUCCACGUAUCAAAAACCAAAUCGUGAACUGUUUCCCUUCUGAUGAGGAUUUUCUGCGAGUGUUACAAGUGGAAAGCAAUUUACACUUGAGAAAUGCAUGGUGGCUGGGAGCAAUCCUGGACAACAGCACUCGGUCCUGGUUUUCAGCUUGCUGAAGGCCAGCUUAUCAGAUGUGGUUUGUAUAAAUCUCACUAUGCUACAAAACUAUUAACCCUUGUAAACAACUGAACUAAAAUACGGAGAUUGCUCUUCGGAGUGUCUUCGGAUAAAAACCGAAACUUAAGAAACAACUCUUAACAACGGAUAUCUUGGUUCUC
rnacentral:misc_RNA from 1 species